GGAUCGAUGAUGACUAUAAAAAAAAUGGAUCUCAUCGGAAUCUGAACAAAAUGAGUGACCAAAUCAUUUCUGUGCCACUUCUGUGAGCUGAGGUCCAGCACUGGGACCAUGCCAGGCAAACAUGAGGAGGGAGUUUACAGGGACUAGGAUUGGGUGAGAUACAAUUCCAUGGAAUUUUACCACUGAACCAGUGGAGGGCUAAUUUUGUCAUUUGUACCAGUUAACUAACUUGGGAGGAAACAGAACAACACACUCCUGAGAUUGGUUUUCACAGAAUUCCAUGGACUUUAACUGCUGAACCAAUGAUGCACUGAUUUUGUCACUUGUACCAGCUAACGCAUCUGGGAGGCAACAAAACAAUACUCUCCUGAGGUUAAUGUGGACCAAAAACUAGAUUUCAUAUAAAAGAGUUUAUUCCUUCUACUUGAGGUGUGACAUGAAGGAAAGUAAUGGAAAUAAUUCUGCCCUCCCAUUCUCAAGGGCCAGGGGGAAUUCAAAUAUUGAACGGAAGUGAUUUUGGAAUUGCAUGGAAUUCUCACUGCCAUCCCAAAGAAAUGCUGAUCUUGUCACUCUUACCUGUUUCAUUCCCUGGGGGCAGAACAAAAGGACGCACUCCAAAGAUCGGCAUGAACCAAGAACUGGGUUUCAUAUAAAAUAUUUUAUUCUGUCCUCUUGAGAUGUGACAUGAGAAAAGUAUUGAGAAUACUUCUAUCACCUCAUCUUCAAGAAUCCGUAGGAAUUCUCCCAUGGUGGACUUUACGGUUAACCUGAACAGGUCUUGGAAAAAGGACUUUAAACAUUCUCCUGUUCUGUGGAAUAAGUAUACUUUUUUCUGGACAUACACCUUGUCAGUGAGUUCCAUGUGAUACUAGAGUUGCAUAGAUUUUUAACCUUUACGCCAAUGAAGAUCUGAGGCAAACAUUGCCCCUUUUUUAGAAGUUUGCAUUUGUCACUGAUAACUGUAAUAAUUGAUCUUGUUGAAAAGCCUGGGAAAUGAAGAUCUGAUAUGUCACUUUUACCGGCUUCCUCAACUGAAAAAGAAUACAAUGAAACACGCUGAGAAUUUUUGUGCUUUCUCAGUCUUGCUGAUGAUCUUUCUAUGGGCCUGAAGCGUGGAGAGUGCCAGAGAGGCUGAUCCUCAGCAGUGUGGCAGAGGAAAGUUGGGUGCGACUAAGGGGUAUGCGGUGCCCACAUGCCACUGGGUCCUCAGCAGUACCACCUGAUUGGAAGUGAUAUUGGUGGAAGACAACAUUUUGCCGCUUGGAAUUCUCACCUCCACACCAAAGAAGUACUGUUUUUGUCAUUUGCACCAGCUUCUUUCUCCAGGAAAGAUCAAAACGAUGCACUGCAAGGUUAACAUCCAAUUUUUAAUACAUGUAAUUCCCUGGAUUAUUUUUGUUGUGUUAUUAAAUAACUUAGAAUUUUUUUUACAAAGUCUGUUGAACCAAACACUGUAAGGCAUUAAUAACCUGGUGAGUUAUUUGAGGCCUUUUUUCCUCUCCUAGAAUUUUUGCACAAUUUAUAUUUUGAAUAAUAUCAGAGACAUCCUAGUAGAGUAAUGAAUUAGUACAUUUUAUAUGCAGAUACAUAGUGAAGCCUCCUUUCUUAUGCAUAUUUGACAAAUGGACAUGUAUAUUUCUCAUCUUCCCAUAUUUUUACUCCAUUUCCACAGGUCAUGUAGACCAAAAUGUGAAUGUCAUAUGAAAGAGUUUAAACAUUGCCCUUGAAAUAUGACAGAAAGUAUCAGAAAUAAUUAUACCAUUCCAUGCUCACAGGCCAGUGGGAAUUCUCACAGUAAGCAUUUUGUCCAGAGAAUAUUCUUCUUAGGGAACUAUAACAUUCCAAUGAUAAUGGUAGUCAGCCAUGUGGCUGGAUCAUCGUUCCUGUAUCCUGGUCUCUAUGACUUAGUGUGGUGAUGGUGUCAUUGUGUCCAAGUGUGACAGAAUUGUUAGUGUGUAGUGUCUGUCUCCUAUCUCAGGCUCACAGUCCCUUUUAUAAACAUGCCUGGAUUGAUGAUGGCUUCAGUAUCUUUUGGAAAUCUGGACUGAGCAAUAGAAUUGCUUCUCUCAAAUUGAUUUCAAGUCAUAUAAAAGGCCAUGUUACACAUAUAUUGUUAAUCUGAGGGAGGCUGUGAUCAUUUAAGUUGUAUUUUAUAAACACUAGGACCACCAGUAAGAAAACAAUUCAAAAAAUAUUAAAAGAACAACCAAAGAAUUAAAAUAGAAUAACCGAAAAGAUCUGUUUAACACAAAAGAAGGCAGUUAAAGAUGAACAGAGGAACCAAUAAGACAUAUAGAAAACAGAUAGGAAAAUGACAGACAUAAACCCAGCCAUAUGACAAUUAUAUUAAAUUUUUAAGAGAUUAGGAAAUUCCGUUGUUUUUUAAACAUGAGCAACUAUACGCUGUCUACAGAAGAGACACUUUAGAACAAAAGAUACAAAUAGUUGGAAAGUAAAAAGAUGGAAAAAGCUAUAUCCAGCGAAUCCAGAAGAGAGCAGAAGUGGCUAUUCUGACAUCAGAAAAAAGAGACUUUAAGAUAAAGUAUUGCUAGAGAGGAAGAAGGAUAGUAUUUAAUGAUAGAAGGGUUAAUAUGGAAUAUGUAACAAUUACAAUCAUAUCAGCACUAACAACAGUGCCCAAAACUACAUACACUGAAAUUUAACAUGAUUGAGGGGAUCAAUAGGCAAUUCAACAAUAAAAGCUUUUGUUCAUACCCUCUUCUUAAUCAGUGAUAAGUCAAUUAGAUAGAGCAUCAUUGAGGUUACAACAUACUUCAGCAAUGUUGUCAACCAAUUUGACCUGAGAUAGAUAGAUAGACAGUUAGACAGACAGACAGACAGACAGAGAAAACUUCACCCAACAACAGAAAUACAAAUUAUUUUCAAGCAUACCUGGAACAUUCUCCAGGAUAGAGUAUAUGUUAGGCUAUAAAACUGUACUCAAUAAAUUUAAGAUUGAAACCAUGUAGAGUAUGUUGUGUGACCAUAGAGGAAUUAGAAAUCAACACAGAAAUAAAUUUGGAGGUCACAAGAUAUUUGGAAAUUAACACACUUUACAGAGCCCAUUGGUCAAAAAUAUAUAUAUUAAACUAGAAAGGCCGGGGGUGGUUGCUUACACCUGUAAUUCCAGCACUUUGGGAGGCGUAGGUGGGCACAUCACUUGAGGCCAGGAGUUCAAGACCAACCUGGGCAACAUGGCAAAACCCCAUCUCUACAAAAAAAUACAAAAAAUGAGUUGAGCAUGGUGGUGCAUGCCUGUAGUCCCAGCUACUCAGGAGGCUGAGGUAGGGGAAUCACCUGAGCCCAGCAGGUAGAAGCUGCAUUGAACCAAGAUUGCACCACUGCAUACCAGCCUGGGCGACAAAGUGAGACCCUGUCUAAAAAAUAAAAGGAAUCCAGAAAACAUCUUGCAUAGAAUUUGAUACAACUAAAGACAUGCUUAGAGGGAUAUUUAUAGUUUUAAAUAACUGUAUCAGAAAAAAAGGGAAGAUAAAUAAAUGACAUAAGCUUCCACCUUAAGAAACAAGAAAAAGACUAAACUAGAAGAUGAAAUCCAAAGCAAGCAGAAAGAAGUAAACAAUAGGGAUUGGAGCAAAAAUUGAUGACAUAAAAAACCAGACAAAAUACAGAGAAAAAUCCAUGAAACCAAAAGUUGGGUUUGUGCAGAGAUUUGUGAAAUUUACAAUCCUUUAGCUAGACUGACACAGAUCAUUAGAAUUAGGAAUGAUGGAGACAACAUCACUACUGACCCUAUAGAUUGGAUCAGGAAUGUCGCUGUUUGCUGCAUUGUGCUUUCUUGAGGGGAGAGCUAUGAAGGAAAACAAAGUUCUCAUUGCACUUACAACUCAACAACACAGCGUUGACAUUUUGAUUCUCACUGGCUUCAGUGCUCAUCUCUGUGAGGUUUCCAGAAGAUCCCGUAGCAAUAUCACUCAUUCUAAAUUUAUCUUUGGGCUACUCUGGGAACGCUGUCUAUGGGUUAGCCCUGCUCUGCAAGGAGCAGUAAGAAAAUAUAUAUAUAUUUUUUGAGGCUGAGUCUCGCUCUAUCGCCCAGACGGGAGUGCAGUGGCACGAUGUUGGCUCACUGCAACCUCCACCUCCAGGGUUCAAGCGAUUCUCCUGCCUCAGCCUCCCAAGUAGCUGGGAUUACAGGCACGUGCCACCACACACCGCUAAUUUUUGUGUUUUUGUAGAGACAGGGUUUCACCAUGUGGGCCAGGCUGGUCUCAAACUCCCAACCUCAGGUGAUCUGCCCUCCUUGGCCUCCCAAAGUGCAGGGAUUACAGGCAUGAUCCACUGUGCCUGGCAAGUAUGUUUGUAGCCAGUGGGGAAUUAUUUUAACUAGGCAAUAAUUUGAUCUAUUUUGGGAAGCCUCUUGUAAUCAAAUCAUAUAUCAACAUUAAUCACAUGGUGAGUCCUCCAUGGUUUUCAUUCCUAGAGAUUCUAGGAUGUUUGACAUUUCUCUGCUUAGCUUAUAGCAGAAAGGUAUUGGAUAUCAAGAAUGUUUGAACAGUUUCUCCUUUUUGGGAAUGAAGAUGAAAUUGGGCUAGAAUGAGAUGUGUGAUUGAGAGAAUGUCCCUGAGGCCUGAGCAGUGUGUCCUUUUGGGUAUGGGCAUUGGAAGCAUGUAGUGAAUUCUUAUAAUUUUAUGUUGCCUCGGCAUCCAUCUUGAGUAUAAGUUUAACUUUGUUAUACCAGAAGCAAGGCUUACUCACUUUUGCACAGUUUCCAGUUCUACACCUCCUUCUCGUUCCUCAGUGUGAUUGGUCCAGAUAGCUGCCUUAUCCAACUGCCUCCUUUGGACCACUUCAUCAUGGGACAGCUUGAUGCAAUCUACUUGACAAGACCCUGGAACCCCACACCCCUCAUGGAACCAGUGUCCACCUCCCAGUCACAGUGUGACCCCAGGGAACUCUUGCCUGCUUGCUUUAAACCCACCACUUAAAAGUCUCCACAGAAAACCUGUUUGAAUAGUACCCUUGACCCAAUAAGGGCAUUGGCCCCUGGGUGUCUCUCUCUCUCUCUCUCUCUCUCUCUCCCUCUCUCUCCCUCUCUCUCUCUCGCUCCCUGACCUCUGCGUGUGGACUCCAGGCAUGCCAUAUACCCCUCAGGACCUGAAGCAAAAGAAUGAAUUAAAGAAAACUCCAGAGAAUGAGCUGACAACCUACUCCCUGGUCAGUGGCUCUCCAUGCCUACCUGUGGUCUCUUGGACACCCUUGCAGAAGAUGACUUCCUGGGAACUCUUCUGGGAGUGAAUGUUAUCAGCAAAUUCCCAAAACAACACCCCUUAGACAAAAAGCCUCCUCACCUAUGCAUUGCCUAGACCACCCACUAAAGGUGAUGGCCACAAAGAGGUGGAUUUGUUGAGUUGGUGCCAUUCCUUCUACUGCCAGCUUCACCAAAACAAUGACACAGUCUUCCUUCCGCAUGGAGACUCUUCUCUUUCCUGUGUUGCAGUGGAUGCCUCCUGCAGAUAAGAAAUGCUUAACUGAGAAAUGCUCAUGUUGGGAUAUCAUCGAUGAGACUUUAAUUUGGGCAUGGUGACUGUUUCCCUUGCUGCCACUUGACUCAAUCCCAGGAGCCUCAGUAGAGGAUAUAAUAUUACACAAGAUGCUCAAAAUGGUGGAAUUGCUCAGUGCUCCCAUAAAUAUACAUUUAUAAUUUUCAUUUGCCACAUGGUAAACUGAAAAAUACAGACUAUAUUAAAAAGAAACUGCAUGAUUUUUUUUCAAAAAUUCAAAGCAUAUUUAAAUAAUAUAUAAAUUAAAUGCCCUCCUCUCUUCCAAUUCUGUCCCUAUAGUUUUCCUCUAUUAAGUGAACUACAUGCAUUCUUUUAGUGGAUAGAUGCACACAAACACACAAGCCAUUAUGGGGAAGGAUCCACGUGUGUGGCCAUAUUGUAACACAUUUUUCUGCAAAUCACCUCUUUCAUUUAACAGCCCUUAUUCAAUGGCCUUUUUCUUUUUCAGUAGUACAUACACAUCUGUGUCAUUUGUUGAAUGACGACAUGAAUGUUUUGUAGAUAAAAUAUAAUUAAAUGUUUUAAGCAUUUCUCACUCAUAGAUAUUUAUGUUAGCACCAAAUUUCUGUGCAAUGAACCUCCCUAUAUAUCAGUAAUUUUGCAUUUGUCUAUAAUAUCAUAAUAAAUUACUUAUCAGUUGAAUUACUGGGAUUAAGUAUGUGCACACUUUAUAUUUAUAUUUUGAAAAUUAUUGCAAGAUUGCCUUCAAAAAUGUGGUUAACAACUUUAUCUUCAAAUGGCAAUGAAUGAGAUUGCCAGCUUUCCUACAGCCUCACAGACAAUGGAUUUUAUAAAUAUUUAACAUUUUUGCCAAUGUGAUCACCCAAACUAUUGUCUUAAAUUGUAUCUCUUUUGUUUUUGAGUUUGGUCAUUUUUUCAUGUUUAUUAGCCAUCUGUAUUUUUUAAUUUCUUCUUUAUGUCCAAUUUUGUGGGUGGGAGGAGGAUUUAGUCUCUUCCUGAUUUCGAAGAGCUCAUUUACUAUUUCGGGAAAUAAGAUUUGGAUUGUCAACCAUUAUAGCUAUUUUUUACACACUUUUCAACUUUGUUUUUGUUAUAAGAAUGUGUAUGAUUGUUACAUGUCCAAGUAUAACCAUGUUCGCUUUUAUGGCUUCUGAGUUUCAUGUCAUUUUUGGAAAGAUAUAUAUAUUGAGUCCAUAAAACCCUUCACCUAUGUUAAAUUCUAAUUCUUUUGUGUUUUUUUAAUUCAAAUUCUUAAAUCAUGAGAAAUUUUUUUGUUUUGAAAUCUUAAAGUUGCCAAGUUACUUGCCAUUACUUGCGAUUAUUUGCCAAUAAUUGCCCAUUUAUCUGUACCGCCAUCUUGCGCAUAUGCUGUACUCUCAUCUGUGACUGGCUCCAUUUUUGUUCUGUGGAUUUGUGUGUCUCUUCUUCUGCCUCCUGUCUCGUGUCUGCUCGUUGGAAGAAAUUACAGUUUAGACUGCAAUUUCAUCAACUUUAAUAAAUCAAUUGAGGGGAGAAUUGGUUUUUAAAAAUAUUAAGUAAGUCUUCGUAUCCAAGGACAAGGUAUGUCUUUUCUUAUUCAAUAAUUUUAAUUACUGUUAAUAUUUUCACUGUGGUGAUGGGAGUUUUUCUUUUAAUUUAUUUUCUUGUUCAUUUUUUGUAUCUAAAGUUUUUGUUUUGUUUUGUUUUGGGGGUAAGUUGUCACCUUACUGUUUCUUGUUGCUUUUCAGAUUUUUUCAAAGUAUAGACUAAAUCCUUCACAAAUAUUUAAAGUUUUUAUUUUCCCCCUUCAUAUUGAUCCUGAUUUUAGUUAUGUUGACAAAGUCCACAGACUGUUACUAUCAGAACACUUGAACAGUUAUGGAAAUAUUACCUACCCUUGAUUUAAUCAGAGUUUAAUGGUAUGCUUCUUUGGUUUGACUGGCACAUUGUCGCUGGUCAUUUCCUCCCAAAGACCACCAGAAAGAGCUAUGAUCAAGCAAAGCUGAGUUUGUUAAACUUACCUGCAGCAAGGGAAAACACCACCUUGAUAGGGUUUAAUAAUGUUUCAAAAUCAAGAAAUGAGGCUUUGGGGUCUGGGCAGGGAACUAAUUAGAAAUGGGCAAAAUUUGUCAUGCAAUACCUUGUGGGAAAGUGAGAUGAGGUUCUUAAUGUGAGUAUUGAUGGUGAAAUCAUUUUCUAGGUGAGCUGUUUGCCUAUAUAAAGAUGUUAUCAAUGACAGAAGAACUAUUUGCCUAGAUAAACAAACUGAAUUUAUUUAUUGGUUUACAGUUUUAUCUUGCUGGGCAGGACUCUGCUGGGGGUGGUAUCAGGUCUUAUUCCCAAUAGGUAAGUUAUUUGGAUAUGGGUGGUCUUAAUCAUCAAUGUGUAAAAUGCUGAUUUUAAGUGCGAAAUACUUUGUCUACCAUGUUAGGAAAGUCUGCCACCUUUUAUCUUUUUUAAGGAAUUUUAAUCAAAACCAGGUGGUAGAUAUAAUCAAAUUGUUUUGCAGAAUCAAUUUUCCUGUUCUCUUUAAAGACUUUUAUCACUGUGAAUUAAUUUACUAUUAUUGCAACUUCCUUUAAUUCCUUGAAUGAACAGACCCUACUGGUUUUAAAAAUGUUUUAUUCUUUUAAUUUACUACUUAAUUGUGGGUAUUUUAAUUUGAUUUGGAAUUUUUACAAGUAUACAACUAAGUGAAAUUGAUCUGUGAUUUUUCUUUUUUGUGCUAUUUUUGUCAUGUUUUGAUAUCAGAUAUUCUGGUUGUGUUAAAAUAAUUUUGAGGAUUUUCUUCUUAUACUGUGUUCUAGAGUGGGUAAAAAAGCCCUAGUCUCACUAUCAGUGUUUAAGUGAACACAUCAGUGACAUCAUCUGGACUCUCCUUUGUUUUUGCUGGUUUGGAGUUAGGACAUCUAGAAGUUUUUUUCUUUUUUUCCUUUUUUUGUAUGGUUAUUGCUUGUUCUUUGUUUUGUGUCAAAUUUAACCUGUUUUCUCUUAGCAAAUCACAGCUCAUGCAGAUUUUCAAACACAUUAGCCUUGUUAUACAAAGUGUUCUUUCAUCAUUCUAUUAAAUUUCCAUUUUCAUUCCAGUUAUAGUUAUUUCUGCUGUGCCUUUGUUAAUGAAUAAGUUUAAACAGUGGAUGUUUAGCAUCACUAGCCUUCCCCUUCCAUCUCCCUUAAUCAGGACCUUGGUAUAAUUUAUCAGGUAUUUUUUAAGGUUCUAAUUUACUUAUAUAUAUUGUUUCUGUAUUCUUUUGUUUCUUUUCUUAAUAAAUUCUUAAA
rnacentral:lncRNA from 1 species